rnacentral:tRNA from 1 species
UGGGCUAUCGCCAAGCGGUAAGGCACAGGAUUUUGAUUCCUGUAUUCCCGGGUUCGAAUCCUGGUAGCCUAA